rnacentral:rRNA from 1 species
UUACGGCCACAUCACGUUGAAAUACCGGUUCUCGUACGAACACCGAGGUUAAGCACCAUCAAGCCUGGUCAGUACCUAGAUGGCUGACCACUUACGAAUAUCAGGUGCUGUAAG